GAAGGUCUUGCUAGACGAGCUGAGAGGAGGUGCAUGGCCAUCGCCAGUUCGUGCCGUGAGGUGUCCUCUUAAGUGAGGUAACGAACGAGACCCCCACCCCAUGUUGCCAUCAGGAUCUAAAGGAUCGCUGGGCACUCUUGGGGGACCGCUGCCGACAAGGCUGAGAAGGUGGGGGCCACGGUAGGUCAGUAUGCCCCGAAUAUCCUGGGCCACACGCGGGCUGCAAUGGUAGGGACAGAGGGCUGCAACAUCGAGAGAUGGAGCCAAUCCCUAAACCCUACCUCAGUUGGGAUCGAGGGCUGCAACCCGCCCUCGUGAACAUGGAAUGCCUAGUAACCGCGCGUCAUCAUCGCGCAGUGAAUACGUCCCUGCUCCUU
rnacentral:rRNA from 1 species